GCAUAACGCGAAGAACCUUACCAGGGCUUGACAUCCCUCUGAUCGGAUUAGAGAUAGUCCUUUCUCUUCGGAGACAGAGGAGACAGGUGGUGCAUGGUUGUCGUCAGCUCGUGUCGUGAGAUGUUGGGUUAAGUCCCGCAACGAGCGCAACCCUUGCCUUUAGUUGCCAUCAGGUAAAGCUGGGCACUCUAGAGGGACUGCCGGUGACAAACCGGAGGAAGGUGGGGAUGACGUCAAAUCAUCAUGCCCCUUAUGUCCUGGGCUACACACGUGCUACAAUGGUCGGUACAACGGGAAGCGAGACUGCGAAGUUUAGCCAAUCCCAAUAAGCCGAUCCCAGUUCGGAUUGUAGGCUGCAACUCGCCUACAUGAAGUCGGAGUUGCUAGUAAUCGCGAAUCAGCACGUCGCGGUGAAUGCGUUCCCGGGUCUUGUAC
rnacentral:rRNA from 1 species